rnacentral:rRNA from 1 species
GACGAACGCUGGCGGCGUGCUUAACACAUGCAAGUCGAACGGAAAGGCCCUGCUUUUGUGGGGUGCUCGAGUGGCGAACGGGUGAGUAACACGUGAGUAACCUGCCCUUGACUUUGGGAUAACUUCAGGAAACUGGGGCUAAUACCGGAUAGGAGCUCCUGCUGCAUGGUGGGGGUUGGAAAGUUUCGGCGGUUGGGGAUGGACUCGCGGCUUAUCAGCUUGUUGGUGGGGUAGUGGCUUACCAAGGCUUUGACGGGUAGCCGGCCUGAGAGGGUGACCGGGCACAUUGGGACUGAGGUACGGGCCAGACUCCUACGGGAGGCAGCAGUGGGGAAUAUUGCAACAUGGGCGGAAGCCUGAUGGAGCAACGCCGCGUGCGGGAUGACGGCCUUCGGGUUGUAAACCGCUUUCGCCUGUGACGAAGCGUGAGUGACGGUAAUGGGUAAAGAAGCACCGGCUAACUACGUG